rnacentral:misc_RNA from 1 species
UGCUUAGCCGUGUAAAUCU